UUAUGUCACACAGCUUUGCAUAAUAAUUACUCAGAAAUACAAACCCUUUAAACUCAGCUUUCCUCUUUCUUGAGCAAAAUCAGAUCACCGCUUAGCGAAAAAAAAAAAAAAAAAAAAAAACAAUCCAAGUUCUGGCCCUUUGUGUUAAGGUCUGAGGCUUAAAGCACAGACUUCAAAAGAAUGGGAAUGGAGGUUUGGGUUUUUUAAAUCAAUUUUAGGAAAAUGGGUACCACAAAGGUUUCUCUGAUCUUAUAAUGGGUACUCAGAUAUUGUGGUGCUGGAUUCAUUAUUAUAGAACAGACGUGAAUACAAAAAAACAAAUCAAGUUCCUGUUUAACUGCAGCUUACAGAAAAGCUAGCUUUUUCCUGCCUGGAUCCCAGCAUGGCAUCAUUUCACGUGAGGUCUAUACGGUCACAUCAAAGCACGGGGAAGAGACCUUCCAGGUGGAUUGGAAACUUGUGAUGACAGAGGUACAACAUGGCCAGCUGGACAAAGGCUGGAACAUCCAAGCUUCUGCCCAGACCUGUGGAAGGCAGCUCUUACUUGGGAACUCUACUGCCAUGUUACAGCAGUUUUUGAGCUAAUAUAUCCUGCACCUCCAGUAAAUUAAAUUUUUACCUCUCCCAUCUCUCCCAUUCCCAGAGCUUUUUUUUUUUUUUUUUUUUUGUAUGAAGGGAUGGAAGGUAUAAAGAUAACCAUUUAUGUACACCAUCAGUCCUACUUAGUAAGAGCAAAAGGAGUAUGUUGUCCAAGGAAACGUGCCUUUUAUCCAUAGCCUUUAAUAUUGAUGCAGCUUUGUCUCUUUUCAAAAUAUAAUUCUUUUGACGUGUCAGUGGGCAAGCUGUUCUGAGUACGUGAACCUCUACCAGCAGAAAACCUUUAUCCUGUGGUUCUGGGAAACUCUUUCCCUGGUUUCUGUCAACAGCCAGCUAUAACCUGUUAAAGUGAAAGUACUUUUUAUUUGUUUUUAAUCAAAUCAAAUAAACACAUUUUCUUUGAUCUUUAAGAAGUCCA
rnacentral:lncRNA from 1 species